AAAGUAAGCUGUUCUAUCGCCGCGCAGCAAUGUGAGGAGGAAAGUCCGGGCAAUAUAGAGCGUCUCGCUUCCUAACAGGAAGGUUCUGAUGAUAUCAGAAACGGAAAGUGCCACAGAAAACAAACCGUCUGCCAACUGGCGGAUAAGGGUGAAAACGUGAGGUAAGAGCUCACGGCCUUGCAUGGUGACAUGCAUUGCGGUAAACCCCGGGAAUUGAAAGACCAAAUAGGUUCUGGAUAGAGGGUUGCUCGCUCUCUCUACCGUUGGUAGAUUCAGGAUGGGUAGGUCGUUAGACCCUAUGAGCAAUUGUAGGGCUAGAUAAAUGAUAGAAGUGCCGAUUUAUCGGCAACACAGAAUCCGGCUUAUAGGCUUGCUUUUUUU
rnacentral:RNase_P_RNA from 1 species